rnacentral:lncRNA from 1 species
CUCCUGACAUCUGUCCUCGCAAACGCCGCCAUCAUCACAGCAGGCCUAGGCACUGACCGGUCAGAAAAUGGUUUGGAGUACGCACAGGCGUCAUCUUUUCACUUGCAAGUGGCUUCAGCGCGCAAUUAUAGCUACAUCAGGCUUAAUGGAAAAUACAUCCACUACGAGGAGUACUCGGACCGGGACCACAGCGGGCUACACAUGCUCGUGCUUCACCCAACCACGGGGGCCAUCAUGGCCCGCCGCUUCAACCCGGGACACUUCGGCGCCGGCUUCACCGACAUCAUGGAGUUCCUGCAGCGCGUGCAACCCGGCCGCAUUCUCGUCUUCUGCUCACAGCACGAGGCGAGCUUCAGCCUGGAUGCGACCUCGCGGCGCUUCUUCGCGGACCUGUCGCCGUACCUGGCGACCCUCGGGC